UGCUGGUCUUUAGUACUAUUGACAUUGGAGAUUGUUGAUUAUAUGAAGUUGUUUCCAGUCAGAGCUGAUGGAACAUAAAUGCUUCUGGAGGCUAUUCCAGUAUAGCGUAUCGCUGAUCUUUAUAGGUUGUGUCUUUUGUUUUAAUCAGUGUAGUAGUCUGUCUUUCUCUAUGAAGUCUGAACAUCUUUGUGUCAUGUCUGAGUCUUAUGUUUCUUAUAGUUGUGAUCUCUUUCCUAUGUUU